AUGAACGCUGGCGGCGUGCCUAAUACAUGCAAGUCGAGCGAACAGACGAGGAGCUUGCUCCUCUGACGUUAGCGGCGGACGGGUGAGUAACACGUGGAUAACCUACCUAUAAGACUGGGAUAACUUCGGGAAACCGGAGCUAAUACCGGAUAAUAUAUUUAACCGCAUGGUUCAAUAGUGAAAGACGGUUUUGCUGUCACUUAUAGAUGGAUCCGCGCCGCAUUAGCUAGUUGGUAAGGUAACGGCUUACCAAGGCAACGAUGCGUAGCCGACCUGAGAGGGUGAUCGGCCUCACUGGAACUGAGACACGGUCCAGACUCCUACGGGAGGCAGCAGUAGGGAAUCUUCCGCAAUGGGCGAAAGCCUGACGGAGCAACGCCGCGUGAGUGAUGAAGGUCUUCGGAUCGUAAAACUCUGUUAUUAGGGAAGAACAAAUGUGUAAGUAACUAUGCACGUCUUGACGGUACCUAAUCAGAAAGCCACGGCUAACUACGUG
rnacentral:rRNA from 1 species